ACAGAGAAACCCUGUCUUGAAAAACAAAAUCCAGUCUUUUAGCUGUCUCCUCUCCCCUGCCUCAGUGAUCCCGUCCCCCACCCCCACCCCCCACCCAUUUCUUCAUUAUCCCUCACAUGAAGCUUUUUGCCACUUUAGAGACUUUGCAUCUCUUAAAUGACUUUUUCUAACAACAACAACAACAACACAAAUAGAUCAAAUUACUUCUGAAGCUUACAGUAGAAAAGCGACAUUCCUUGCUCCCUCCUUCUUUCCCUGUGAGGCAGGGACUACCAAGCUAUCAGUGAACACCCAAGAGGGAUGCUGGCACCACAGGUGUUUAUGACCACACCACAUCAUGUGGCGCUGAGGAUGGAACACAAGGCUUCGAAGAAUCCAGGCAAGCACUCUCUCAACUGAGCCCCGGCAGUGGCUGCUGGGAUUUUUUGGUCUGAGAAAGGGUCUCAUUAUAUAUAUCCUAGCUGGCUUGAAACUCAUGCAUGGUUUCAUGGCUUGAAACCAGGCUGGCUUCAAACUAACAGAGAUUCACCUGCCUCUGCCUCCCAAAUGCUGGUAUUAAAGGUGUGUGCCACCAAACUUGGUAACUAGCCCCUUUUUUGUUGGUUCGGUUUAGGGACAGCCCAUCCCCCACCGCCAUGUAGCACGGGGUGAUCCAGAGUCAAGAUCCUCCUGCCUCAGCCUUUUGAGUUGAAAUCUCAGGUGUGUAUCACCAAGUGUGGCCUUCAUCCCAUUUUUAGAUGUACUCUCACCCCGAGACUCGAAAGCUUCAUCUGUACAUUUAGCCCUGUUUUCCUGACAGAACAGUCUACACUAGUGUAGCACCCCUCAAAGGUCAGGAACGAUAAAGACAUCUUAGGUACCCAAAGACUCCCUUCGCUAAAUCCAGACAGGGGUGCUUCGAGUGGUCUCAGGGUCAGCUCCCCCCCCCCCCCCCGCCCCGUGAAAUGCCUGUGGUUGGGAUUUUUUUUGGGGUUAAAGAAAAUGAAGGGAGAGGGGGUCGUCUCAGCAACAGGAGGGAGAUGGUGGUCUGGGAAUGUUUACAGUCUUGGCACAAGCUCCCAGUGAUAAGUGGGGAGCAAUUGUGGAUGUGGGAGGAAUUUGGGGUGGCAUUGAAAGAAACUAAGAAGGAACACGGCGGGGGCUCCAGGGGCCCUCAGCAGAGGUUUUUAUUACCUUAUUCUGACUUUGAAAUGGAACCGAAAACUUAACUUUCAUCUAGCAAGACCAAGACAGAACAAGCGAUCACAGUAAGAUCCCAGGUGAUAAUCAUCACUCUCCGAGGGACCCGGCACCGAGAAGGGGACACAGAGAUCUCCUCAAUACAAGGAGGGCUGCAAAACUGGGGGAGCAAAGGUGUGUUGUGGUAACGAAAACCGAAGCACCAGUCAAUUACCAGGGGCCUUUCUCCUGGUCAGCAGCAUUUGGGGACCUGACGGGGGUUUGGACAGGUUUUUUUUUUUUUUUUUAAAUAGGAAAAAGGGAGAGGAGCAAGAAGGAACAUUUUGCAUGCAAAUGGGCCGUUGCCAGAACAGCCCAUUAAAAUGUAAAACUCCACAUUGGGCUGACAAAAUGGUGCAAAGCGCAGUGCUUGCCACAGGGGCCGUGAUGAAGCACACAACAAAGAGGCCAGGGAACAACGAGAGCUGAAUGGCCUCUGUCAGCAGGUCCCCUCUCUCGUUGCCAUGGGGACUCCACCCGGGCUUACUAAAGGUAUUUCCUGAGGAGAAAGGCAGCACACACAUGCCCAGGCAGCCGAGCUAAUCCUGACAGGAAGCCACGGCCAUUCAGGAGCCCAGGGGCUUGGGGCUGAAGUUUUGUUUUGUUUUUAUUAAAAAAAAAAAAAGAUUUCAGUCUUUUGUGCGCCCCACCUCAUCACUGUAAUUUAGUACGGAGCUGCCAAAGCCGCAGCUAGCUAGGGUCCUUGCGUCCACCACAUGACACCCCCACCUCCCCAGCUGGGCUCAAGGAGGUAACAAGGGAAACCCUUACUUGGGAGUUUUGUUUCGUCCUUACAAACCUUUCAACAAAGGUGUGCACCAGGACUGUGUUCAGUCGGGACACAAACUUCAUGCCUGUAGUUUUCCCACUGGCGUUAUGGUGCCCAGGCCCUGGUGCCCCCCCCCCCCGACUCCCACCGUAGCCCGGUCCAGCUGGAAGGAUUGUAAUUACAUGAUUAAGAAAGGAAUCAAAUCCCCCCUUCUUCUCCAGCAAAGGUUCUGGCUCUGCUGGUAAAAACCUGGACCAAGCACGAAAAAAAAACCCAAAUCUCUUCCUGUACCCUUCUCCCCAACUGGGUCUUUAAUCCAUUGCUCCUCUUCCUCCUAGUUUACUGGCCAGAAAGAACCCAAAAAGAGGAUGCCCUGCAGCUCCAGGAAGGGCUGUCUGUGCUCAGGGCUCCCAGGAGUUGGAGUCACCAUGUCUCACUUGGCACCAGAAGAAUGCAGCCAUGGCAGAUUCGGGGAAGGAGGCCAACCACACAGCUGGCAGCAGAAGAAAACUGUGUGACAACUGCCUCCUAGGGCAGUUUAGGGUCCACUGACAUUUCCUGAGCAACUUAAAGUCAGAAGAUCCAUCCCCAUAGUGGGGAUGGGGGUGGGGGGGUGGGGGGACUGGAGCUCUGUGACUAAAACGUGGGCCUAUGCCAUCAUGUACUUGCAAAGCGUGUUUGGGGAGUUGUAGUCCUCCAGAGGACUUAUGGAUACCCUUGCCCAACACACACACACACACACACACACACACACACACACACACAUUAUGAAGCUUCUGUGAUUGUACUAGGUGGCUUCAAUUUUGGGUUAAAGUCGCUGCAGACUUCUUGGAAGAGCCUAGCGCCGUAAGCUGUAAGCAGGUGAGUCUUGUCAUAGCCCCCAUCACCCAAAGUCACUUCCUCAAUUCGAAUCGGAAACUACAAUUGGCCACCGAAUGAUAGAGAAAAGCCUAAGGCCUGCUCUGCUAAGUUGUGGGCCAGGAAGGGGGGUGGGGCGGGGAGGAGAGAGGGUGGUGGUCCUGUUGCUAGGGCGGUAGCUUGGACCCUCCCACUACUGGCAGGGAGCCCAGGCCUCCCAGCCAUGUGUCUGCAGCUGCGACCUGUCAUACACUUCCUGGUCUGGGUUCUGUAAUGGGAAGAUCAUUAAGUAUGGGGGAGGGGGAGGGGGGAAUAAGAGGACUCUACAGGGAAGAGGUAACUCCCGAAGUCCGCUCUACUCUAGGCCCUGACCUUAAAGUCUGGUCAGGUUCCUUAAAGAAAGGAAUGCACUGCCCUGCCCCCAAGCGCCCGCCCGGGGAGGAGCCUUCUAGGGCCGCCCCUCCCCCCAGGCUCCGAAGCUCCAGUUUGGAGAAGGAAAAGGCCGGCAGCUGGGCAGGAAAAGUUGCAGUCCCCAAAAAACUUGCUGAUCCAUUCAUCCAGUAGGAGUGUCAGCUGUUUCGGAAUGUGCCUUCUGUCCCCCCCCCCCCCAAAAACCACAGAUGGUGCCCGAGUUAAACGGUUUGGUUACGUGUGGCCUGCGGUCUGUCCGCACCGUGCCAAUGAGUCUGGGGGUGUUUAGGUCAGAGAGCCCAGCAUUAGACCACCCAAUCCAGGGUGGACAAAUAGCCUUCUCACAAAGCGUCAUGUUAUUCCCUGCCGUGAAGAAAUGCCCCCAGCUGGGGAGACACCUUAGGGGUGGAGGGCUUAAUUGGAAUUCUAGAGGUUCUGUUUCAAUCUCCACUAUCACGUUCACUCAUAGGUUUAAAAAAAAAAAAGGGUGGGGUGGGGUGGAGUGACUCUUUAGUAGCACUCACACCUUAAAUCCCAGCACUGUGUAUGUGUAUGGGGUAGUGCAUCCAGAGACAGAGGCAGGCAGAUUAACUAAACCUGGUAUACAGAGCAAUUUCCAGGCCAUUCAGACUAUGCAACAAGAUCUGAGACCUUGCCUUUAAAAAAAUAAAAAAGUCCCUUAUUUUGCAUUAUGAAAAUACACAAAAUAAAAUGCCUUAAGAUAAAAUAAUACAGCAAAAGCUGGUUACUUGGUAAUAGGCUAUCAAUUAGGGAAGGCGGAAGAUCCCGAGAUUGCUGGACAGCAAUGUGAACAUAGCCAUGGUGGCUCUUGCCUUAUAAGCCUGGCACUUAUGACACUGACGCAAUAGUACUAACAAGGCUAGCCUGGGCUACAUAGCAAGUUCCAGAACAGACAAGGCUACCCAGAGAGACCCUGUCUCAAAAAAACCAUACAAAGGUUAAAGUGGAGAGCUUUAGGUUACAUAUAUCUGGACCUAACUCGCUCACACAAACUACAAGACCACGAAGAUCUGGGAGCAUACAUGUCCAAAAUGGAGCCUCAUUUAUAGCCCCUGCUUGUCCACAGAAUGAAUUCACUCUUCGGCCUCUAUCUCUUGCACACACAGUAUCAAAAACAAGCAAGCAGUCUUUGCUUGAAUGCUCAAAAGAGCAUGGGGGGGGGGUCUGACUUUUGAGGGGCUCUCUAUACCUUUUUUACCUGGUAAUCCAGAACCAUGGGACUCUUGGGGUACAUACAAGCUUCCCUCAGCUAAGCAACCCUAAUGACCUCUGGGAAGAGAGGUCUAACAUUCACUCAGUGGCAGGCCCAGAUUAAGCCAACACAGUUCAGCAGAGACAGACAACUGUGCUAGAGAGCCUAGUACCUUGAUUCUGGGCUAGUGAUGUCCUGUGAAGACCCAGUCUCCAUGUGGGCUAACCCCCAGCCCUAGGUGCCUUCUGGCUUAGCGUCCACAUUUCACCCGAACGCCAAGAUUCUAGAGUCACUGUGCCCGGCCAACUUUUCAUUUUUAAGAUUAGAGUUGUUAGGGUGUGGAGAGAUGACUGAGUGGUUGAGUAGUGACAGGGACCUGGGGUUCAACUCCCAGCACCCACAUGGAGGCUCACAACCAUCUGUAGGUCCAGUUACAGAGGACCCUAGCAGGGUGCUGUACACACUCAGUGCAUGUAAAUGCAUUGCAGCCCAAACACAAAGCAGGUAAAAUUUAAAAGAUGAAAAUAAAAUUGAAAACAAAGAGGUACCUUUUUUAAAAAAAUGAAAAUGGAGCCAACAUAGUAUAGUGGUGCACAGCUCUCUAAUCCCCGAGCUCGGGAGGUAGAGGCAGGUAGUUCUCUGCAAGUUUGCAACCAGCCUGAUCUACAUCGUAAGACAGGUUCAUAACCACUUGUAAUUCCAGCUUUGGGGGAUCUGACACUCUCUUCUAACUUCUGUGGGCUGCAGUCCUGUGCACAUACAUACAUACAUACAUACAUACAUGUAAUUAAAAAUAAAUCUUAAAAAAAAACCUUCCAACUAUAAUAUAAGGAAAGUAGAAACUAUACCAUAUUCUAGGCUACUCGCAAGCCAUGCAGCCUUGGCUGCAAAAUAACUGAUUCUUCAUAAACCAUUUUGAGAUGAGGCGUUUUGAAAACUGAACCCAGACCCUCACACAUGUCAAACAAGCAUCCAGCCAAACACUAAGUUACAACCUCUACCUAAAUAGUCUCAAACUCCCAAUCCCCCUGCCUCAGCCACCCAAACAGAUUACAGGCAUGUUCCUCCAUUGGCUAAGAUUAGGCUCUAUGUUUCCUGCUUUGGCCAAGCUUCAGGUAAAAGGAAGUCCGGCAAACACAUUUAAAGUGGGCCAAACUAUGAUAUAGAGUAGGUUGGAUGUACUAAAGCAUUUUUAAAAAUUCUUUAUUGUCAUUCUGUAUGUGCACACCCACCCCACCCCCUACACCCGUGGAAGCCAAAGGACAACUUUGUGGAGCGGAGUCACCCCUUCUCCCAUUACAGAAGUUCUGGGGAUUGAAUUCAGCAGCAAGUGAUCACCCAGGCUUUACGUGUAGCAAGUGUUUUUCCUGCUACACCAUCUUGUCAGCUGUGAGUAUGCGAUACUUUUUUUUAAAGAUUUAUUUAUUUAUUUAUCUAUUUAUUUAUUAUAUGUAAGUACACUGUACCUGUCUUCAGACGCACCAGAAGAGGGCAUCAGAUCUCAUUACGAGUGGUUGUGAGCCACCAUGUAGCUGCUGGAAUUUGAACUCAGAACCUUCGGAAGAGCAGUCAGUGCCCUUAACCACUGAGACAUCUCUCCAGCCCUAUGCUAUACUUUUAAUUAUUACUUUAGAAUGUCACCCAUUACAUAGGAAAGGUUUUGGCUUAAGUUUAAUCCCUGGGACUCACAUAGUGGAAGAAGAAAACUGACUCCAGCCAGUUAUCCUCUGAUCUACAAGCACACACAUGCACUUCUUCCUUUUUUAAAAAAUUUCACCAUAAAAUUAGGUGCAGUGAUAUAAAAGCCUCAGCACUUGGGAGACGGAGGCAGGAGGAUUGGGAGUUUGAGGCUAGCCUGGUGUAGAUGAGAGCCCAUCUUUAAAAAGAAAAAAGUUCACUAUAAAACAAUGUUUCACACUAUGCCAAGAGCAGCCUCACACAUUCAAUGUUCCUCCAACUUUGGCUGUAUCCUGAUCUCUUGUACUUGGUUUAAACUUGUGUUGGCUUAUUGUGGCCUAAGACCAAGGUCAAAUACCAUAUACACAGAGGUACGCACUAUAUAGCCUAGGUGUGCUGGGCUACACUUUGUAAGUUUGUAAGAACACUUUAUUUUGCUUGCAUGAUGACAAAACCUUUUCAUAGUACAAGCCUCCAGACACCGUUAAGGCAACAAAUCAAUAUAAUCAAUAUAAAUACGUCUCUGUAUAUCCAACCAUAAUGAAAUUAAUGAGCUGGUACUGCCUGCAGAUAAGCAGUUUGCCCCUUUACUUUGAGCCCUUUGGCCCUCUUAUGCAGUGUGAGAUGUUCUUAUAUAUCUUGUCUUUAUUUGAUGUGGGCUUCAAGUAUCACUCCCUAAUUGGGUUAUUUAUUAUAUCUGCAAGUCUAUGAAAACAUAUGGGAGUGUACCACUUUAAUCUCAGCAUUCCAGUGAUGGAGGCAGGGGAAUCUCUAUGAGUUUGAGGCCAGCCUGGUCUACAGAGUGUGUCACAGGACACCCAGGGCUACACAGAGAAAUCCUGUCUUUAAAAUCAUAAUUAAAAACAAAAAAGAAAGAAAGAAGAGAAAAUGCCACAGAGCAAUCCACUACACACAGCCUAAAUCAUUUCCUGAUAGCAGAAGGGUAAAAAUUCUGUAACCCACACAAUGCAAUAUUAUAUAGUUACUACCAAAAAAAAAUCUAUAUAGGAACAGAUUUAAGAUAUAAGCCAAUAUAUACAGUAUAAAUUCCAUUUCUCAGAUAUAAACACAAGAAGAAAAUCUAAAAAAAAACAAAAAACAAAAAAGAUUCAGGCCAACUGUGAUUAUUGAUGGAUGAUGAGAAUCUAAGACAUUAUUUAUCUGUCUGUACAAGCCUGUAGUUUCUGAUUUCUUGUUAUAAACACAUAUCAAAAUAGUGUUUUGGAGGUUUUCUUGUUUGUUUUUAUUUUUGUUGUUUUAUUGAUUGAUUGUUCUGUUUUGCUUUUUGAAACAGGGUCUCUGUAGACCAGGCUGGCCUCUAAUUUACAGAAAUUCACCUGCCUCUACUUUCAGAGUACUAGAAUUAAAGGUUCUACAUCCAUCAAAUCAAUGUUCUUAAAGACUGACAGUGUCUGGGCUGGAGAGAUGGCUCAGUGGUUAAGAGCACUGACUGCUCUCCCAGAGGUCCUGAGUUCAAUUCCCAGCAACCACAUGGUGGCUCACAACCAUCUGUAUGUAACUUUAGUUCCGGGGUGUGUGUGUAGGGGGGGAGCUGACGCCCUCUUCUGGUCUUGUCCGGAACUGCAAGCACUGCAUGCACACAACACACAUAAAAUAACGUGGAAACAAAAGAAACCCCAAGAAAGGGGUGGCCUUUUAAAUAAAAUCUUAGUGGGGACCCAGACUAAAUCUUAAGGGUAAGAAUUAAGUACAUAUGAUUAAAGAAUUAUAAAAAGUUGGGCGGGGACGGGUGGGCAUUUCAUGUAAAAGGAGAGGGACAAGCAAUGGUCAUAUAUAUGGUGCAUGCUACGGUCAAGGAAAAAAUAGGAAUAUACUUGGCUAGAUGGGGGAGAAUCAGUGAAGGAAGAGGCCGGUAACCAGCCUGAGCCUAGCAGUCUCUGUGGGGACCAUGGGGGAGGAAAGGCUGAGUCCUGGACUCAAUUUUCUUUGCUAAUUAACCAUUUGAAAUUUCAGUCCUGACGUUUUCUAUCCAGACUCACAGGCGGCAAGUCUACAUUUUGCUGAAUUCCCGGGCCCUCUUACCCACUUUGCCUACACAUUCAGGGUCUGGGGAACGGCUGCUUUCAGGCUAACCAAGAGUACCGCUGCCCCCAAAUCACCUCUCUUACAGGAGCUAUCCCAGGAGGCUCAGGAGCACAGCAACUCAGCAGAUAGGACCACCGGUGUACUGGGUUUCAACUCUCACCCUAGCCUUGCUCCGUAUGCAGGACAUGAUUCCCGAAUGAAGACAGCAGGAACCAUGUGUGGUAUGGGGUAAGUGGACAGUGGUGUUAGCCAAAGACCCGAUGGGGUGAGGGAGGCAGUGGCUCAAGCCCAGGGCUCUCUACUUACAGCCAUUUAGAGGGCCCAGGUGACUAGGUUCCUACCGGUCACACUACAGGCUGACAGAGCAAACUAAAAGUCAGAGGCAGCCCAGACUCCAAAAGGCUUCUCUUAAGGCCAUGGGUCUCAACCUCCUAACACUGCGACCAUUAAAUACAGUUCCUCGUGUUGUGGUGACCCCACCAUCACCAUAAGAUUAUUUUGUUGCUACUUCCUAACUGUAAUUGUGACACUGUUAUGCAUCUGAGAAUCUGUUAUGAGCACUGUUACGAAGCUGAGGAGAGAGAGCAGCCGGGUCACUCCCGGUUAGGGGAGAAACAGUUGUCUGGUUUCCAGGGAAGAGGGAAGUAAGGAUGUGGGGGAUGGGGGGUGGGGAUGGGGGGGAUGAGCAAAGAGACUUCCCAAUAGCCUCGAGGAAUGAGGCCUUAUAAAAACAGGGCAGAGCUGCUGGUCAGACUCUCUGACCUGGCUCUCACCUCCUGGAUAAUGAUCCCCAGAAGUCACUUCCCCAAGGCCAUCAAUGACAUCCCAGAGACACCCUGCUCCUUGACAGAAAGGACCCAUUGCUUAGGCCCUGCCCACCCACUCGGGACGCAGCAGAAGCACGCUCUCACAGAAGCCAGCUCCCUCCGGUUCUGCCCUCCCCACAGGUAGUCCCAGACUCGGGGUGACAGAAUCCUGGCUGGAUUCUUUGUAUGGCCUCCCUCCCUGCCCCCCCACCCCUACUCCCCCACCGACAGCAAGUCCUCUGGACAACCAUUUGUUCUUUCUUCCCUGAGAAAUUCCUCCUCCUCCCCCCUUACUUUGGGGAGCGGCUGGCAACGGCAGAGUGGAAAAAUGAGUGAGGCUAAUGGUGUAGCAAUGCGGAGGCCCGAGCCAAGAACACAGCCUUGAGCGGCUCGGCUGCCCGGGGCCUCGCUGAUCCGGACACGUGAGUACCCUCACAUUCUCUCACAGGCUGAGCACGGCCCUCCCUCCCCACCCCACCCCCCUCCGCUAGCAAGCACCUUUCAGAAGCGCUGGUUCUACCUCCAGGGAGGGGAUGCACAAUGACGUAGGGAAACCUGGCAACAGACUUCAUGGACCUAACCCCCCAACCCUCGCUUGAACAACAACAAAGGGGGGGGGCAUCAUUUAACACCUUUCAUUCUGGAAUCCUCUACUGUCCAGUGGGUUAGAAACAAACAAGGUCUUUUCACAAGAAAUUUUACUGGGGGUGGAGGGUGGCCACGGUGUGUCCCCCAAAGUGUUCCAAGCCAGCUAUGUAACCUUACUCCUUAGGUCACACCAACAAGCAAAAGCUGCCUGGACUACAGCCUGCCUGUCAGUGAUACACACUGCAUACCUAGCUAGACUCCCAGGCAGCUAGGUUGAAAUCCACACCCUCUUGGACCAGUGGCAGCUCAGGACCCCUAGUGGGGUGGGCGUGGGAGGGCUACCAGGGAGCUACAGCUGAGGCCAGGGCCAGAUUUUGGCAGCACCCCCAGCCUUUCCCCAUAGGCACAGGUUUUUUCGGCAGAACAAGGACAAAGCCGGGCUUUGUGGUACACAGCGGGCCUGCAGCCUGCAGCUUUUCCAUUUAACGUAACCUCUCCUCCCUCAUCCUGCCACCAGACUCCUUCAAAUCUGGGUGGGUGGGAGGAGCUGUAAAACCUCAGCCAUUAAAUCUCUUAUGAGAUGCAGGUUUCUGUGGACGGAGGAAAGCAUUUCAAGGCUGGAAGUCUCACACUGGCUUGCUCCUUUAGGGUGCUCAGGGAACAGGGAAGCAGAGGCCGCCAUUCCCAACUACAAGUGGCCCUGCAAAGUUUUGGACGUACCCACUCACUGAUGCCUCAAGUCCUGCUCUCGGAGACAAAUACAUGCAAGCAGUCUUCCUCAGACUCCUAAACUUUUGGAAGCCGGUAUUCUGCCCCUGGGCCUGUGUCCCAGUUUCAUUUUACACACAAACCCCAAAACCCAAUCUGAAGAAACAAAGCUUAAGACUCGGUAAUAUGGCAAACGGGAGAAGGACGGGGUGGGGUGGGGUGGGAGAGGAGGCUGGUUUUCCUGGAAUCCUUAUUAAAUCAACUUUGUAAGGACAGCCAGAAACUGCAGGCCUCCUGGGUCCCUUCAGGGCAGGGGCGUUUGCAGAGGACUGCCAGGAUUGUGCUCAGUCAGGGGAGGGGCUGCCAUCUCCUCGCCGCCUCCCCUAAAGCCUUCCCAAGUGCAAGCAAAGUCUGGGAUGAUUUGUUUUUAACUUGUGGACCAAUCUUUGUCACAUAAAGUACAGUUGUUUUGUAUUGUUUUGUUUUUAAAGACAAUAGCAGCAUUACUUAAUCAUCAGCAUGGCCAAGACUACAGUACACGGCAUGUCUGUGAGGUUCCAAAGUUUACAGGGCAUGGACAGGGCAUAUUCCUCUGACAUCACAGUUAAUAGUGGGUCUGUGUUCUUUCAAAACUGCCCCCCCCCCACAACAGGGUGUGGUGGCAUAAGUCUUUAAUACCAGCAUUCAGAGGCAGAGGCAGAGGCAGAGGCAGAGGCAGAGGCAGGUGGAUCUCUGAGUUCGAGGCCAGCCUGGUCUAUAUAAUAAGAGCCGGGGCAUUCAGGGCUACAGAGUGAGACUUUGUCACAAAAAAAUAGGGAAGGAAAUGAAAUAAUACAGUGGCCCACGUGGGUAUCACAGGUGAUUAGAUUCAUACGUCAUCAUGAGACUUCGUCCUUGACAGGAAAUCCUCGAACAAACAUCGCUAGUGUACGGAGACAGGAAGUGACAGGACAGAGGUUGGAGACAGCAAGAAGCAUGGGAAAGGCUUUUGGGGUGACACACUGAUCUCUCGACUAGGAUGGUAGCAACAUAAGGUGUAGGCCUUAUGAAAACUCACUGAGCUGCACAUUUCAUACUACAUAAAUUAUCCUUCAACCAACUGACUCCAGCUAUGACUACUACACAGACUCUUCCACCCCUCCCCUCCCCUUCUAUUCCCAGAACCACUACUGUGCCUAGGUUUCGUGGCACAAACCUUUCAUCCCAGGCAGAUCUCUGAGUUCGAGGCCAGCCUGGUCUACAAAGCGAGUUCCAGAACAAGCAGUACUACACACAGAGACCGUGUCUCAAAUAAACAAAAAGAAAACAGGUAAAAAGGUCAUAGGUCCCCUGCUUUGGUCUCCACCUUGGCAGCUCAGCAGCUUCAACGACCCUCCCCCUCCACUUAAAAUUCCUCACGUGGGGGCAGGGAGAGAGGGCUCAGGGUUAAGAGGGCUGGCUAUAUCCGUCAAGAAGACCCAGGUUCAAUUCUGAGCACGCACAUGGCAGCUCACAACUGUCUAGAACUCCAGUUUCAAGGGAUCUGACACCUUCACACAGAUGCACACACGAACAAGACACCAAUGCACGUAAAAAAUUAUUUAAAAAAAUAAGUAAAAAGUCAUUUAAACUUUCUUAUAAGAGGACCAUUUGGAAACUGCCUGCCUGCAAGGGCCUGGCAUGAGAUCUGAACUGUCUGUCUGCUUUCCUUCCUUGGGCUGUAAAGAGUUUGUUAGAGGAGAAAAGGUGGAGGAUGAGACUGGAAAGGAGGAGGAAGAAGAGAGAAAAGGACCGGGAGGGAAGAGGAGCUGGCGUCCGACUAUUUAGCAAAACCCAUGGAUUCUCUCCUAGAAUUCGGCCAUCACUCUCCCGGGGCCUCAGUCCCACUCCCUGACUUGACACUCAACGUGCCCUUCUCCAGCCCUUCCUGACAGCAGAUGCAAGAACAGCUACGCACACUUUCACGUGGAAACUCUCUCUAUGUGGCACUGGCACAGACCAAAAUGGCCUCGGACUCAGAGAUAUGCCUCCGAGUAUUGAGAUUAAAGGCAGGUGGCACCGCGGACAGCAGGACAGAUGCAGUUCAGCUCUAGGAGAAGACUCAUAGGACCUCCAGUCCCACCAGCCUCCCUCCCAGGGAACACAUGCUUCACCCUUGAAGGCAGAGCAGGACACUGUGCGACGUUGGGUGGUGACGCUAACAUCUGACAGCCAGGAAUGGCCAUGUCAGGGUGAGUGGGAGAGGAAGGCUCUACGGACAAGCGCAGUCAAGGGCCGGUGCAGAGGCUGAUUGAGGCAAAGUAGCUCACACGGACCUGGUUAAAGCCGUGGGUUCUGCAGCCCUGGAGCCGUUUCGAGUUUGUGAUGGUCAUGUUUUGGUAUUGUAAAUGUUUUUCUUUUAUGGAUUACUGCUGGGGGUGGGGGGUGGGCAGGGUGACUGUGCCACAGCACACAUGCAAAGGUCAGAGGACAACUCCACAGAGUCAGCUCUUCCCCUCUAGAGACCUUUGCAUGGGUUAUGGGGACUGAGCCGUCUCACUGGCUCUGUGAUGGUAAAAUUUAAAGGGUCCUAAGGAUAAGAUGACAAGUGGUGAGAACUGGCUGGCCACUGCGGACUGGGGUGACCAUCUCCUAUCUCCCAGGUGUUUUCUGUCCUCGGUGCUCCAGGGAACUGUCCAAGCUAGUCAGAGACUCUGCUUCCGGAACAUGCCCUAAUGUGGUGUUUCAGCCUUGCCUGUCCUGGAACCAAGAAGGGCCCCUCUCUAGCCAGUCAAGUCCGUCCUGGCUGGCAAAAAAAUAAAAAAUAACAACCAAAAAAACCCCAAAUUCUUGGCCAGAAGAAUAUAUGCACACUACCAUUAGCUUCCUCCAAAGGCUUACUUAAAAAAAUUAAUAAUUUUAAACUAAAAAUGAAGUAAAUAUUUCCCUUCUAGCUUCUUUUUCCUUUUCUUCCUCCUCCUCCUCCUGAAUUUAGGAAAAGGGUUAGAAAUGGAAGGAAUAUUUGCUGAAUGUUCUGUGGAGCCUACACAAGUAAAAUACAUUUAUAACUCUAAAGCUUCCUUUAUUCUUCCUACUCUGCCUCUAAGGAGAGUUCUGGUCUCUGCUAAGAGAAGGAAACUGGGAUGGGGAAGUGGGGAGAUCGGGAACCCAAGAGCUUAAGAACUUUGCCCAAGGAAAUGGAGCUGUUGGUAACACUAGAACUUGAUCGCCCAGGUUUGGGAGACAUUAAUUCAAGGUGGGAGAACGCAAAUAACUUCACCACACCUAAAUGGGAUACAGCUCAGGGGAGAAAUCACUGCCCAGCAUACAAGAGGCCCUGAGUUCAUCCCCAACACAGGAAAUUCAAAAAUAAAAACCAGCCCUCCAUCCGAUGUGGGCAGACACAGGCGGAUUCCCAUGCGCUAGAGAAACUAAGAGGAUAAAGAGGAAUCCAAGUUAAUGCUGGGAAACGACGACAAGUCCCUCAUUCUCUGUCCACUCAGGGCCAUUCAGGACCCAGGGUCAGGCACAGUCUCGGGCCUGAAGAUGCUCCCAAAGCCGUCCUAAUCAGUGUAGAUAGCCGUUAUCCAAGAAGUACACUGGACAACAAAACCCUGAAUCCCACAGUAACCCUGAAUACUAAGUCCUUAGUAACAACAAAGGAUGGGUAGGAGGAGCAGGUGUCACCCUGAGAUGACUGAUUAUACUCCAGCAGACCGCAGCUUCCACCUGUCACUCUGUCCCCUGAGACAUCUGCCCACCUACCUCUCCCUAGGUGUGGGCUGGCUGUACACACCUUCUUUCAUCCCCGGUGAUGAAUGCUCUUCAGACACCUGAGACUAUUCUGAGAGUAGUCUGGCACCUUCCCCCUGACUCAUGUCCAAAACAGGUACAAGAGUCCCUCCUGCCUCCCCCUCUUCUACCCUCUGGGCCUCAAAUUGCACAACAAAGAUGCUAUAGACACUCAGUCUCCUGGUACCAACUCCAGGAAUGAAAAGGUUGUCGGGUGCACUCAGUGCACGGCUCACACAUCUGCAGAGUGUGCGGUGGCGUAAACCACGAAUCCAGACUCGAUGGGGAAUCCUAAAGACGGGCCCCGUAGCCCUUAGGAAUCGCCUCUGUCCUCCACUGCUUGACAGGUGUGACCCACAGCCAGGUGUACACAGAGGUUUCCUCACGGUGCUACGUCUGACACCCCAUCAGUUAGUUCUUCCACUCUCAGCCCAGGCUCCCAGAUUCCAACGCUUAGAUGAAGAGAUCUUCAAGGAAGGGCAUUGAGAUCAUAUUACCUCAGUUUUCAUACUUGUGGCAAGGCUAAAAUAUCUGUCCUGAUGACAUCUGGGUGGUUAUAAGGACCAAAUGGACAGUGUGAAAGAGACGGAGAGGGUCUCUUUUAAAUAACUUACACAACAGGAGCUUCAGUAUAUCUAGCGGGAAGUCAGCCUGGAGCACCCGGCCUUGUACCUCAACUCUAAAGGACUAGAGAGUCUAUUAACAUCGGAUCUCUUUGUCUAAAAUGAUGCACGAAACCUACUGGCUGGUGCUUUCAGGGCCAAGUAUUGGUCAUGGUCUCUUCUUCUCCCUCAUCUUCCUCUCUUUUUCUUUUGGUUUUCUUGAGACAGGGUUUCUCUGUGUAGUCCGGGCUAUCCGGUAACUCACUCUGUAGAUCUGGCUGCUCUCGAACUCAAGAGAAGCAACUGCCUCUGCCUCCCAAGUGCUAGGGUCCACACUUGCCUGCCUCUGCCUCCUAAGUGCUAGGGUCCACACCCGCCUUCUCAUCUUCCUCCUAAACAUUUUCUUUGUGCAUGCUCGUGUGCACGUGUAUGUGUGUGUGCAUGUGUGUUGCGACUGUGUAUAUGGGUACCCAAGGAGUCAAGGAGAGAGGGCAUCAUAGCCCCUGGUAUAAAGUGGUAUGAGCUACUUGAUGUUGGUCCUGGGAAAUGAACCCUGGUCUUCCUGAGGGACAGUGUGUGCUCUUAACAGCUGAGCCAUUGCUUCAGCCCCUAGUUCUCCAUCUCCCUGUUCUCUAGAAGGCAGUCAACAAACACUUUUAUCCAGGACACUGACCCACGGGACAGUUCCUUAACAUGGGCAUUGGUUCCCAGCUGAAGGAGACCUGAACAUUUGUCUUCCCACAUCACAGGUGGUUACAUGUAUACAUGUUCACGUAUGUACGCAUGGCAAGCACAGUGAAGUGCCUUCUCUCUAUAAUACUAGGCUAACAGAAGAAAGAAUCGUAAGCUUGUAUUUUAAAAAAAUUACUUUUAAACUUAUUUUCUUUUAUGUAUAUAGCUGUUUUGCCUGCUUGUACGUCUGUGUAUCCCCCGUGUGUGCCUUUAGAGAACAGAAGAGAGCAUCCGAUCCUGCUGAAACUGGAAUUACAGAUUGUGAGCCUCACCAUGUGGGGGUGCUGGGAACCAAGCCCAGAUUCUCGGAAAGAGCAGCCAAUGCUCUUAACCACUGAGCCGUCUCUCCAGACCCCAAACUCCUUGUAUUCUGAGUCUCUCCUGGACCACACUCCCCUACAGAACACGAGCUUCCUCGCUUCGCACAGGUACUUCCCACCCUCCAGCCUCACAGCCCUAACACUCUAGACCUAGUUGGCAAAUCUGGUGGCUCCAGGCCACACUGCAGCUGUUGAGCUAUUGAAAUAUGGUCCUUGCCAACUGGGGUGAAUGAGAGUGAAAAACAGAAUUCGGCCAUCAACACAGGGAAAAAAAAAACGUAAAAUAUCUUAACCAUUUUUUUUUUAAAAUAUUGGGACCAGAUACAGUGUGUACUCUGUCAUGCUUGAAGCUGUUGGUUCAACUGAACUGCCAGCACUUCCGAAUUUUCAUAUUGAUUCCAUGUAAAAGGAUAUUUUAGAAAUAGCAAUAAUAUCAUAUAAAUAGACCUGCUAUAAAUACAAUGUAUUCUUAAAAAUCUAAACAAAUACAUUUAAAGUGGAUUUCACCUGUUUCUUCUCAUAGACUUAAGGAGGCUCCCAUUGUAUUUGGGGGUCUGAGUCAGUGUCCCUCUUGCAACUAGAUCCCCACAAUUAGGUCACAAAGCUCUGCUUCCAGAGGCCUUCUAGCUCUUCAGCCCAGUCCUCUGAUUUCCGUAUAAAUCACCAGCCCCUGUCCCAGGGUGCCUAGGUCAUCAGCUUACUGCUCAUGUUCCUCAUGUCCCCCUUUCUUCUCUCCCCAGGCAGCCUGGCUAGUUUUAUGUCAACUUGACACAACCUAGUCAUUUUGGAAGAGGGAACCUCAACUGAGAAAAAUGCCCCACCAGCGUGGCCUGUCUGCAAGCCUACAGAGGAUUUGCUUCAUUGGUGAUUGAUGUGGGCAGGCCCAGCUCACUGUGUACAGUGCCACCCCUGGGUGGGUGGUCCUGGGAGCUAGAAGAAAGCAGGCAAAGCAGGCCAUGGGGAGCAAGCCAGUUAGCUGCACCCCUCUGUGGCUCCAUCAGUCCCUGGUUCCCUCAGCAAUGGGCAGUAACCUGGAAGGGUAAGAUGAAAUCAACCCAUUCUUCCCCAAGUUGCUUUUGGUCAUGGUGCUUCAUCUCAGCAACAGAAGCAAUAGGAACUCUAAGACACUGGAAAACACUGGAAAAAUCUAUGGGCUUCCAUGAAGCAGGAUUGGUGCCUACCUGCCUUUCAUCCUACCCUCAGAAUGGGAGGUGGGGAUAUACACAGGAGAUGGAGCAUCCAUGUUAGAGUGGGAUAAAAGGCAAGCGAGCCUAGAAGAAACAAACCCAGACCCAGGACCCUCUUUGGGAAAUGUCUGGAACCUUCCACGGAUCAGAUUUAGAAGUUGUUUGGAUUUCGGAACAUUUGGAUAGGCUUUGCCAGUAAGCCCCCAAGUGUGAGAUCCCAAAUAUCUUGGAGUCUUCUUUGACUGCCAACAGGACAUGUGCUUCUGGAGUCAAGGCUCUCAACCCGCAUAUAUCCAAGGAAAAAGGAGAGACUUUGAGCAGGGGAGCCACAGGCAGUUCCCCAUGCUAACUACCCACAAUACCAAAGAGGAAUGUUCUAAACAUACUGAGGGCCCAGAUUUGAGGACUAUGGUACAGAAGUAUGACUCCCUUUAGGUAAAAAUAAAAGGUACUAAACAAUAGAGGGAACUUUCCACUCACAGCGCUUUUAAUAAACAUUUUUAAACACUAGGGGAAGCUUUGCUCACAAAAUUGACACUGGAACAAAAGAAAUGCUAAAUUGUGGAGCUGCAGCUCUCUCACCCUCGCUGGCUGAAGACCAUCACUGGGUCUAGUGAGUUCAGUUCUGAGUUUGGUGGCACAAGUUCACACUCGCACACAGACAUAUACAUAUAGAUAAAAAUAAUAAAAUAAAAUAAAAAGAAAUGCAAUGCUUGCAUGUUUUAUGAAGAAGUUCGGUUUAUUAAAAAUAUUUUAAGCAACGAGGGUUAAAAGAAGGAAAUGGGCUUUCUGAAAGAAAGACACACCCAAGAGUGAGGACGAGGGUUUCUCUAUAGAGAGUGGCCUAGCUGAUUUUGCAUCUCUGUUACAAAGUAUCCACAUAGAAAAAAGUUUAGUAGUAAACUUUUUGCCUAGCAGUAAAACUAUUUGCCUAGCAAGUGCAAUAUACCCUGGGUGAGCCCCAACACUACUGAAACAAAACAAAACAAAGGAGAGAGAGAGAGAGAGAGAGAGAGAGAGAGAGAGAGAGACGUGUUUGCAUAUGUAAAAAUUAUCUAAAUGUCUUUUAUAUUAAAAAAUUAGUAAUUGUAUGGGGGCAUGAAGCCUGUCUACCACCUCACACUCAGGAGGCUCCAGCAGGAGUAUCUCAAGCUGCUGGCCUUGAGGGCUAUGAAAACCAGACUCAAAAAAAAAAAAAAAACCAAACAAACAAACAAACAAACAGGGACUGGAGAGAUGGCUCAGCAGAUAGAAGUACCUGCUGCUCUUAAAGAGACUAACUGGGUCUAGUCCCUAGCAGCACCAGGUGUCUCGAAACCAUUUGUAACUCUAGUUUCAGGGGACCUAACACCACCCCCUUCUAAAUGCAUCAGGGGUCAGAAAUGCGUGUGAUCCGCAUACAUACAUGUAGACCUAAAUCUAAAAAACAAACAAACAGUAACAAGAACACAGCGAGUGAAACAACGGCUUAGCUGCUGAAGACAGGACAUAACACAGGUGUCCAGUGUUACCAGUGUAAUCUUGGAAUUCCUUACUCGGGUGAACAUUAUUUAAAUUUCCAGGCUUGGGGGCUGGGGGACUGGGGCUUCUUCUUGGAGGAAUGGUAGUAAGCUAAGAAUUUCUAUUUAAGGCCAAUGCAAACUUGGGGUGGGGUGUGUGUGUGUGUGAAUUAGGGGUGGGGGGCAAUAUCCUAAGUCAUAUGAGGCACUUAAUCCCUCCCUCUGGAAACACCAGCACCUUUUCUAAAGUUCCACACCUGGCCUCCUCCCGGUGCAUUCAGACCCUUUCCAGAACCCUGGAGAAGGGGAGACUUGCAAUACAAAUUUCCCAAGAGGAAAUGAAACUCCUCCCAAGUGACAGGAGUGUGGCCUUUUCACAAGACAUCACAGUCCAUCCAAACUGCUCUUCCUCCUGUAGCUCAGGCCCAGACUUUCCAGGAAGGAAACAAGGUCGUCAGGAGGUCCAAGCCAGCUUCAAACUCAGCAUGCAGGAUGACCUUGAACUGGGGCUCCUCAGACUUCUACCCAGAGGCACGGAGGUCAUCAAGAUGACAGGUGUUACCCUUCAACAGCCAUUUUGAUCAAAGAGAUUACAAAAAUUGGAGCAAGAAAAGAGCCUUUGGGGCCAGCAAGAUAGCUCAGCAGGUAAAGAAGGGGAGGGAUUGCAGCUAAACUUGAUCUCUUAGAUCCAACCCACAUAGUGGGAGAAAACCAAAUUCCUUUUUAUUUUAUUUUACACAUAUAUGGUGUGUGUGGAUAUGUGCAUGCCAGUGCAGGUGUCUUCAGAGACAGUACCUUUCCUGUGAACUGCCUGAGGUGCAUGCUGGGAAUUGAACCUGCGUCCUCUGGAAGAGCAGCCAGUGCUCUUAACGGCUGAGCCAUCUCUCCAGCCAGAGGAACCACUUCCUGCAACCUAUUCUCUGAUCUCCACUGGAGCACUGGGGUGCCCACAUAAAUAGAUGAGUAGAUAAAUGUGAUUUUAAUAAGGAAAAAAAAAAUGAACGUGAAAUAAAAAAAACAUUCAGAGACACUAGUUGCUAAGGCCCAAGUUUCUUUCUUUCUUUCUUUCUUUCUUUCUUUCUUUCUUUCUUUUUUCUGGAACAAGCUUUUAAGAGCCGUGCAUGGGGUAAGUAUCACAAAUAAGCAAAGAGAGGAUGGCUAUCAGUGCACUCCGUGGAUUGUCUUGGUCUCCAAGGUUGGUGUCUUGCCUACGCAAUGCUCCAUUCAAUUCCCUCAUCUGGAGUCCACUCUGAAGUCAGCUAGCUGGGGUUUAGGGUGGCAAUAUGUAUUCUAAUAGGUGAGAAGAUGGUGAUAAGUGUGCCGCUCCUCUGUUUCUUCAGCCCCUCGGCUUCACUUGCUAUUCAAAGGACACUGACUUAACCUUCCACCAUUGCUUCACGGCCUGGGGCCAAGGAAAACAACCCUCUCAAGACUAUAUACCAUGGGGCCAAAGGAAGCAGUUCCUCCAACCUCCCAUUGUGAAUGAAAAUACCCCUGAAACUCAUAUUGGAAAUACACACGGCUCUCAAUCCACUGCUCCUCACUGAAAAGCUGACGUUCAGCUAUGACUAAGGGUAAACGCAACAUAUUUUAAGUAGCUUGUCACUGAUGAAGUGUGUAACUGUUCCGGCUGGAACCGAGCCCCAGACAGCAACUCAGGGUCCCCAAACACCCAGCACUCUGGGGUCAUCUGGGUCCCCAGAGUGUGUCCCAACUGGGGAAAUAUGUAAACAAGCCAUUAGGGAGGGAGGCAAGCCAUCAGCACAGUUGACGGGUAUUAGUCGAGCUGAGCCGUUGGCCUUAGGUCACUGAAAGGAAGAGACACCACCCCAGCGUGGGGGUAAUUGGCUAGACCUUGGCAGGUCCCAGGGGCCAGCUACUUAGCUUUAAAAGAAGCCCCAGAGAGGAGGAAACCCAGAGCCUGGCCAAGGGAGGAAGACUGGCCACUUUUUGCUCAACCAUCUCAGGGCAAUGGUUCUACAAUUUAGAUACUAUUCCAAAAAAAGCAAUGGUCCGGAGGUGCAAAGACCAGAGCACAUCUGGGAAGGAAACAGUCACCUUAAUUACCAUGUCUAGGGAAAGUGCGAUUUCAUUACAGCCUCCAAAACUACCGCCCUAAGAAGGAAACCAGAGAAGUGUUUUCAAUUUAAAAGACUGGAGAGGGUGAGAGGCACCGGCAAACUAUACCCACCCAGCCGCUAACUUUGGAUGGACCCUUAGGAUGUUUUGUUGCCCCCCCCCCUUCCAAAAGAAUGGACAUUCCAUCCCUGGCCCUGUAGUUAUUGUUUAAACGGCAAAAACACUCCAUUUUAAGCUUCUGAGGGCUGCAACCCAGGAAACUCACUGAAAACACAAGGUCCCUCUGGCAGUUACAGCACCAGGUAUCGCACUCUACUCCCCAAAUGGAGGACGGAACACCCCCCCCCAAGAUGGACUUGGACGCGUGGCGAUAGGUGGGCCCGCGGUGUCCACAUGAGACAGAUGCUCCAACUAUAAUUAAAGGGAGAGGCGAUACUUGGUUCCAGGACACGUCAGGGCCAAGUUUGGCCCAGACCCACCGACCAAGGCCACCUCUAGUAAGCAAGCGGCUCCCAAGAGGGUCCAGAGAUUCUUAAACACCGCCCCCCCCCCGCACUCCCCCCCCCCCCAUCGUCGGCCACCAGCAAGAGAGUGAAGGAAUCCAAAAUCACUUUGGGAUCUAUAACUUGCUUUUCUCUUCCAAUCCCAAAGCCUCUGCUCCACGUCUCAAGAAAUGUUAAGGGGUGGUGGUGGCGGUGGUGCUAAAGAAUCUCAGUUUUAAUUUAGGAGGGGGAGGGGAGGAAGAGGGAUGUUUAAUAAUGUGGCUGCGGUGUACCCGUGUAGGGUGAAACGGAACCAGAUGCGGCAGCUACAUCUGGGAAAUGGGGGGUGGGGUGGGGGAGAAAAACGCCGUCGAAAUGCUUUGCAAAUGAGUUAAUAGCUUCUACUAGGCCCAGAGAAAGAGAACUCCCUCCUGCACUCCCAAGGUGUCCAGCUGCCUCACUGGGUGGGUAACUGUUUAUUACAAACCCCAUCUAUAUAUUUAAAAAGUCAGUAAAUUCCUCUAAAAAUAUGAGUACUAGGUUGUCUUACCCCGCCGGAGACACUACAAGAGGAGGCACAGGAGGUGUGGAGAGGGGGUCUGGGCCAGAGAAGCAACAAGCGGGCAGAAGAGGGCUCCUCCGCACCGGACAAGUUCUCCUCAUUUCCUCCACUUCCCAGAACGAUCCAGACCCCGAGACCCCCCACCCCCCGCUUCUCCAGACCCCUUCAAGAGUCCUCUAGGUCUAAGAUAAAAUAGAACAUUACCACCACCACCACCAUCACCCCUCAAAAGGGGGGGGAAUCUUUGCUCGCUCUCCGCUAAAGCCGAUUCAGCCAUUUGGUGACGACACCUCCUUCAAACCUAUUCCAAGACAAGCUAGCCUUCCCCGCCACUUCCUUUCCUCUUCAACCCCCCAACCUGGACCCCAGACUUGCCCGGAGGUAGGAAAACACUUGAAAAGAUCCCAGAUGUAGGGUGUUGAGCUUAAAGCCACCGGCUGAAACGGGGUGAAUCCGCAAGAGGACCAAAAGAUAGAUGAUGUACACACACACACACACACACACACACCCUCCAUCUCCCGGCCCAUUCCCGCCCUCCUCCCCAGUAGGGAACACACAGCUUCCGCCGCCUUCUCCUGGGCCAAGAGGGUCGGGGUCUGGACUCGGAGCGC